UACGGAGGGUGCAAGCGUUAUCCGGAUUCACUGGGUUUAAAGGGUGCGUAGGCGGGCAAGUAAGUCAGUGGUGAAAUCUCCGAGCUUAACUCGGAAACUGCCGUUGAUACUAUUUGUCUUGAAUAUUGUGGAGGUAAGCGGAAUAUGUCAUGUAGCGGUGAAAUGCUUAGAUAUGACAUAGAACACCAAUUGCGAAGGCAGCUUACUACACAGUCAUUGACGCUGAGGCACGAAAGCGUGGGGAUCAAACAGG
rnacentral:rRNA from 1 species